UACGUAGGGUCCGAGCGUUGUCCGGAAUUACUGGGCGUAAAGAGCUCGUAGGUGGUUUGUCGCGUUGUUCGUGAAAACUCACAGCUCAACUGUGGGCGUGCGGGCGAUACGGGGCAGACUGGAGUACUGCAGGGGAGACUGGAAUUCCUGGUGUAGCGGUGGAAUGCGCAGAUAUCAGGAGGAACACCGAUGGCGAAGGCAGGUCUCUGGGCCACUACUGACGCUG
rnacentral:rRNA from 1 species